CUCCACACGUGACUUUCUAUUUGGUGGAAGAGAUGGUCACCGUUAUUUGCUCAUUUCUUUAGCUCUGUUCUUUCUUUCCAGCUGCAUUACUUUCUCAUAACUCCUUUUUGCUAUCUUCUUAAUCUACUUGCUUUCAGUCCCACAACUCCCUGCACUUUAUUGCUUUUGCCUAUUAUAUUAUUGAUAAUGAUGCCAGCUGAAGUUUUUUCCUCUUUCCCCUUGUGUAAAAAAAUUGCUGACCAUCGUCGUGCUUGCUACUGAGGCAUUUUCACCUCUAUUUCAGGAGGUUGGCAAAUGUGGUGUUUUUGCAGGGCAUCAAAAUUGGAGACGAUGUACCUUCCAUUUCUCACCUCCCAGUUGCUGAUCAUGAUACUGUCUGUCUGCUAUUUGCAAAGGCCUCAAUAGAGGAGGCUCAAGCUAUUCUAUCAAUUCUUGAUAUUCAUGGAGCAGCUUCAGGUCAAGGAGUGAACCAGUUGAGGUGCGGCAAAGUAUACUGGAUUUGGAGUAAGGUGAGCGGGUGGAAGGAACAACAAUUAUCGGCUCCUGGUACAGCUACAGGAUUCAGUUCGGAUUGGAGACGUCUCUGGGACUUGGAACAUGCCAAAUACCGAAAUGCUGCAGUGAAAUGCUGUCUUGCUGAAAACCGUAGAUGGGAUAGAGAUUUCAAUAUGCUGUAGUGACGUUGACAAUUGAUAAACUCAUGUAUGGGUGUUAAAAAAAAAAAAAAAAAAUUCGUUCAAUUUAUGCUCAUUGUCAACUUCUAACUUGAGCAGAUCUGCCUUCAUCAGAGUGAUGUCAAAUGGUUUUAUGUGGCAACCCAGAGAUGAUAAAGAUUCGAUGCAGACCCAGAGAAAUGGUCCCAAAUUAUGCUGGUUCACGUCAAACUUCGAAUAAUUAAAAGAUCUUGAAACAAUGUCGACAUUUUCUCCAACUGUUCCAAAAUGUCGACAUUUUCUCUAGUUGCUCCAAACAGAGACAGAACUGGCACAUCCAAAUUCAACGAUACUUACCAAAGUGAGUGCGACUGGGGACAGAUGAGAUGCAGCUCACCGGGCAAGCCUUUUAUUUUUGAUAUGAAAUAGAAGCAAAGGAUUUACUCAUCAAUUUUGUUUGCUUUUGUUGAAAAGUUCAAUGAACGUAGCAAGUGGCAACUCGCACAAGUUGCAAUAUUUUGUUUGCAUGGACAUGGAAUCGAAUCAUAGCGCAUGAUAGAAGAAGACACCUGGGAUUCCAGCUCCAUGGCUGGUAAUUCUGCUGUCAUAUUUUUGCAAGUGUAUGCAUGAAGGUUCUUAGAUAGUACUGUCAUGGCAAUUGUGUCAUGAUGAAUUUUCUUGUAAUUUGUCGCCAUUUCAUUUCAGAAACGGUGCUUACUAU